UACGUAGGGUGCGAGCGUUAAUCGGAAUUACUGGGCGUAAAGUGUGCGCAGGCGGCCGCGCAAGUCGAGUGUGAAAGCCCCGGGCUUAACUUGGGAAUUGCGCUCGAAACUACGUGGCUGGAGUGUGGCAGAGGAAGGUGGAAUUCCACGUGUAGCGGUGAAAUGCGUAGAGAUGUGGAGGAACACCAAUGGCGAAGGCAGCCUUCUGGGCCAACACUGACGCUCAUGCACGAAAGCGUGGGGAGCAAACAGG
rnacentral:rRNA from 2 species